rnacentral:rRNA from 1 species
GACGAACGCUGGCGGCGUGCUUAACACAUGCAAGUCGAACGGAAAGGCCCCUUUGGGGGUACUCGAGUGGCGAACGGGGGAGUAACACGUGCGUAACCUGCCCUUGACUUCGGGAUAACUUCAGGAAACUGGGGCUAAUACCGGAUAGGAAUCCUUGCUGCAUGGUGGGGGUUGGAAAGCUUCGGCGGUUUUGGAUGGACUCGCGGCUUAUCAGCUUGUUGGUGGGGUAGUGGCUUACCAAGGCUUUGACGGGUAGCCGGCCUGAGAGGGCGACCGGCCACAGUGGGACUGAGAUACGGCCCAGACUCCGACGGGAGGCAGCAGGGGGGAAUAUUGCACAAGGGGCGGAAGCCGGAUGCAGCAACGCCGCGUGCGGGAUGACGGCCUUCGGGUUGUAAACCGCAUUCAGCAGGGGCGAAGCUUGUGGUGACGGUACCUGCAGAAGAAGCACCGGCUAACUACGUG